AUACGUAGGGGGCGAGCGUUGUCCGGAAUGAUUGGGCGUAAAGGGCGCGUAGGCGGCGCGGUAAGUCUGGAGUGAAAGUCCUGCUUUCAAGGUGGGAAUUGCUUUGGAUACUGCCGCGCUUGAGUGCCGGAGAGGUUAUCGGAAUUCCCGGUGUAGCGGUGAAAUGCGUAGAGAUCGGGAGGAACACCAGUGGCGAAGGCGGGUAACUGGACUGCAACUGACGCUGAGGCGCGAAAGUGUGGGGAGCAAACAGGAUUAGAUACCCUGGUAGUCCACACUGUAAACGAUGAAUGCUAGGUGUAAGAGGUAUCGACCCCUUUUGUGCCGGAGUUAACACAAUAAGCAUUCCGCCUGGGGAGUACGGCCGCAAGGUUGAAACUCAAAGGAAUUGACGGGG
rnacentral:rRNA from 1 species